rnacentral:lncRNA from 1 species
UUGUUAGUUUCAAGAAAUUUGCUUAGCAAAUACACAAGCAAGAAGAAGAGGGAAGCACCGGAGGCUGGGGGAUCAUGGCCUGUGAUUGGCCAUCUACACCUCUUAGGAGGGCCAGAACCUCCUCACCGGGUAUUAGGCAAAAUGGCUGACGAGUAUGGACCAAUCUUCAAAAUCAAGAUGGGCAUAAAUCGAGCUUUGGUUGUGAGUAAUUGGGAGAUGGCUAAAGAGUGCCUUACUACACACGACAAAGUCUUUGCUAGCCGUCCAAAAACUCUAGCCAUGGAGAUUUUAGGCUACAACUUUUCCAUGUUUGGCUUCAGCCCAUACGGCUCCUACUGGCGUGAGACACGCAAGAUAGCCACACUUGAGCUUCUCUCGAACCAUCGUCUUGGGAAGCUCAGGCAUGUACGAGAGUAUGAGCUGAAGACAUCUUUGAAGGACUUAUACGAGUUAUGGGACAAGAACAAAAGCACUAAUAAGAUGUUGUUGGUAGAGAUGAAGAGAUGGUUCACUGACACAAUCCGUAAUGUCGUUUUAAGAAUGAUUGUCGGAAAGGGAUGCGACUCAGUGGAUGGUGAAGAAUGGAUAGAACUACUGACGAGAUUUUCUGAAAUGAGUGGUAAGUUUGUGGUGUCAGAUGCUCUGCCGUUUCUUAGAUGGUUGGAUAUAGGGGGUGAUGAGAGGUCAAUGAAGAAGAUCGCCAAAGAAUUAGACAUUGUUGUUCAAGGAUGGUUAGAAGAGCACAAGAGGAAGAGAGAUUCUCAGGAGAUUAAAGAAGAAGAUUUAGAUUUUAUGAGUGUGAUGCUCUCGAUCCUGGGUGAUACAAAGCAAUAUUCGGGUCGUGAUGUUGAUACAAUCAAUAAAGCUACUUGCCUGGUAUGCCUCUCUUAAACGAUUUUUUUCUUUUUUUUUUUUUUGGUUUUGAUUUUGAUUUUGUUUCAUUUUAGUUACAUUCUAAGUGCGACGCAAUCCAUCUCUGCGGAGUUCAAAAUCUUAUCCCGCCCCACCCCUUUUUUGUGUUUUAUUAAUUGUUUUUUAUUUUUAUCAACGUACAUACACUAAUGAGGCUCGAAUUCAGGUCUUUAAGUCUUAGGAUAGUUGCUCCUCACCAGUGAAACUAGACCUAUUUCUUUUUACUCAAAAAGUUUUACUUGGCACUUAUGUCUUAACAGAAUAUUAUAUGCUUUUAAAACAUAUUACGCAUAUAAUCAUUCAUAAAGUUGUUACAUCACUCUUCAGGAUGAGACUUCCAGACAAGAGCAGUUAAUUUUGUAGCGUGUGAAUUGAGAGUAUUUAAUUAUGGGUCUUGUUAAGUUACAUAAUAUUUAACUCAUAGCAAAUGCAAAAGUAAUCACCCAUGACCUCUCACUUAUUUCACAUAUUACUAUUUUUUGCGUUGGGUAACUUGUUUUGGGUUGCUUUAUACAUUUAAUUAUAUUCUGCUUUCUCCUAAUCAGUUGAGAGGGCAAAAUAAUUAAUUAAAAAGUCGAUGAAAUCAUCUUCCACUUAUAUAUCAUCGCAUUUGUUAUUUGGGACCUAAAUUUUCAAACAAGUUUUUGAUAAUAUAUUUGUGGAUUUAGGAAAAGUCUUGGGUGAUUUAGGGAUAUUGCUCAUUUUUCAUUCAUUUCUUACUAUGUGUAUGCUUCAAAUUAUCAUGACAAUAUUGAUACACACAUAGAAAAUAAUGAAUGACUAAAGAACAAUGCUCGAAGGGCACUAAAGACCUUCUCGUGAAUUUGAUAUGAUGCAUUAAAUCUAAUUCAUCUUAAUAGUCAAAAGAUGAAAAUGAAAAUCUUUAAGAUGAAUUUAAUUAAGUUGGAUUGUGAAUGAGUGUAACAUAUGAAAGUUCCAAAAUAAUACUUUUAGCCCUACCAAUUUUGCAGGGUCUCGUCUUAGCAGCAACAGACAACACAAAGAUGACAUUGACAUGGGUUAUCUCUUUGCUUCUCAACCACCGUGAUAUUUUAAAUAAAGCUCAAAACGAACUAGAUAUUCUGGUGGGUACGAAAAGGCAAGUGAAUGAGUCAGAUAUAAAGAAUUUAGUUUACUUGCAAGCCAUUCUCAAAGAAGCAAUGCGUUUGUAUCCUGGUUCGCCACUCUUAAUUCCACACAAGUCUAUAGAAGAGUGCACGAUUAGUGGUUAUAAUGUCCCUACCAGCACACAACUUAUUAUCAAUGUUUGGAAGCUUCAACGUGAUCCACAUGUCUGGGAAGAGCCUUGUAAGUUUCAGCCAGAAAGAUUUUUGACAAGGCACAAGGAUAUUGAUGUCAGAGGACAAAAUUUUGAAUUGUUACCUUUUGGUAGUGGUAGAAGAACUUGUCCUGGAGUUUCAUUUGCCCUCCAAGUUAUGGAAUUUACACUUGCUUCUUUACUUCAUGGCUUUGAUUUUGCAACCCCAUCAAAUGAACCGCUGGACAUGGGAGAGGGACUCGGGUUGAGUAUCCAGAAAGCUAGACCACUUGAAGUACUCAUUGCUCCACGUCUUUCUGCUUCUUUGUACGGCUAGAUUGGUUCUCAAUGCAAUCAAUCCAAUAAACUUUUAUAACAAGUAUUCACGUAUUUGUUUGCUUGUAUACUCUUGCUUAUUAUGCCUUCUUUGUAUUCAUUAUUAGACAUGAAUAUCUAUUGUUAAAUAAAGUUUUAUCAUGGCUAAAUUGUCAGGUGAUGACUAUCGGGGCAUCCUAUGGUGUUCAAUCUGAUGUGUUUGUCUAAAAUCAAUAUAUUAGGUAAGCAAUCUUAUCGGGACUCAUUUUAAUUAACAAAGAGCCCAAAACUAGUUAUGUCAAUUAGAGUGCUAAAAAGGUGACGAUGAUGAUUUUGAUUUGAAUAUUGUUAUUUUUUUUGGAAAUGGAUUAUUUUGUUGAUGAUGAUGAAUCCAAUUAUGAUUAUUUUUAUUUUUAAAUGGAUUAUUAUUUUGUUCAUGAUUUAUUAUUAUUAUUAUUAUUAAUGAUAAAUUAUAAUUAAUUAAUAUAGUAGCAAUAAAUGAAUAUAAUUAAUUAAUAUAUUAACAAUAAUAAUAAUAAUUAUUAAUUAUUAAUAACAUCAUCAUCAUCAUCAUCAUUAUUAUUAGGAAGGACUUUUUAGUAACUUGAUACCAUCUAAUUCAUUUUGAUUUUGAUUCGAAAAUAAAGUAAACGCAUUAAUGGAAUCCAGCUCAUUCCGAUUCCAAUUCCUACAGUUUAAUUUACUUAUUCACAUUCCUAUUCUCCAUUCCGAUUCCCGUUUAGUAAACAUAGCAUAAGUUAAAUACAUUGGUUGUAUGGUGCACGUUGAGUAGUAUUCUUUGUUAGGAGGCAUGAGAUCUGAUCAAUCGUUUGGAUUUAAUUCAAUUUGUCAACUGAAUAUUAUUGACUCACAAAUUCUUCCUAACAAAUUGAUUUGAGAACUUUAUUGCUAAAUCAUGAAUUUCUGAAUAGUUUUUCAAGAAUAAAAAAUUGCUCGAAGAUCAGAAUGUGUAAAAGAAAUACAUAACGGGGAUUUAACUCCAUUUGUUCUACGUUAAACUUAGUUAGUUAGGAGCCAACGCGAUGUGUUCUGUUUAAAUAAGGAAAGCUAAGAGUAAAUUUGAUCUUGGCCAUACAUUUAAUUACAUGACAUGUGUCAAAAUCUUUUAUAAACUUUAGGAAAAUUUAGAUUAGAAGAGGAUUAAAUCCAAUGAGGAGAUAUAUAUGUGAUUAGGUGAAGCAAAUCUUUAAGAAAAAAGAUUUUCACCCCUUACAUUUUUGUCAAAUAUCAUAUUUUAUGUUUAGAAUUAAAUAUUCAGUAACUUCAAUUUCUUUAGCACUUUAGUUCUUUAUAUAUGGAUGGACAUGAACAAGUUGAUAUUGUAAAUCACCCGAGAAAUUUUAGCAGGUAGCAGCCAUGGACUUUCUUGUUUCACCUCAAACUAGUGCUAUAGCUGCAAUUUUAAUCACUCUCUUAAUCAUUCUAUACACGUCGUUGUUAGUUUCAAGAAAUUUGCUUAGCAAAUACACAAGCAAGAAGAAGAGGGAAGCACCGGAGGCUGGGGGAUCAUGGCCUGUGAUUGGCCAUCUACACCUCUUAGGAGGGCCAGAACCUCCUCACCGGGUAUUAGGCAAAAUGGCUGACGAGUAUGGACCAAUCUUCAAAAUCAAGAUGGGCAUAAAUCGAGCUUUGGUUGUGAGUAAUUGGGAGAUGGCUAAAGAGUGCCUUACUACACACGAC